rnacentral:rRNA from 1 species
CCUACGGGAGGCAGCAGUGGGGGAUAUUGCACAAUGGGGGGAACCCUGAUGCAGCGACGCCGCGUGGGUGAAGGAGCGUUUCGGCGCGUAAAGCCCUAUCGGCAGGGAAGAAGGAGGACGGUACCUGACUAAGAAGCCCCGGCUAACUACGUGCCAGCAGCCGCGGUAAUACGUAGGGGGCAAGCGUUAUCCGGAUUUACUGGGUGUAAAGGGGGCGCAGACGGCGGCGCAAGCCAGGGGUGAAAGCCCGGGGCCCAACCCCGGGACUGCUCUUGGAACUGCGCGGCUGGAGUGCAGGAGGGGCAGGCGGAAUUCCUGGUGUAGCGGUGAAAUGCGUAGAUAUCAGGAGGAACACCGGUGGCGAAGGCGGACUGCUGGACUGCGACUGACGUUGAGGCCCGAAAGCGUGGGGAGCAAACAGGAUUAGAUACCCCAGUAGUC